rnacentral:rRNA from 1 species
UACGAAGGGGGCUAGCGUUGUUCGGAAUUACUGGGCGUAAAGGGCGCGUAGGCGCCUUCUAAGUCAAACGUGAAAUCCCUCGGCUCAACCGAGGAACUGCGUCUGAUACUGGAAGGCUUGAAUCCGGGAGAGGGAUGUGGAAUUCCAGGUGUAGCGGUGAAAUGCGUAGAUAUCUGGAGGAACACCGGUGGCGAAGGCGGCAUCCUGGACCGGUAUUGACGCUGAGGCGCGAAAGCUAGGGGAGCAAACGGG